rnacentral:rRNA from 1 species
AUUGAACGCUGGCGGCAGGCCUAACACAUGCAAGUCGAACGAGUGGCGGACGGGUGAGUAAUGUAUGGACAACUGCCUAAUGGAGGGGUCUAACUACUGGAAACGGUAGCUACUACCGCCUACCAUCGGAUGUGCCCAGAUGGGAUUAGCUAGUAGGUGGUGUAACGGCUCCCCUAGGCGACGCUCCCUAGCUGGUCUGAGAGGAUGACCAGCCACACUGGGACUGAGACACGGUCCAGACUCCUACGGGAGGCAGCAGUGGGGAAUAUUGCACAAUGGGCGAAAGCCUGAUGCAGCCACGCCGCGUGUAUGAAGAAGGCUUUCGGGUUGUAAAGUACUUUCAGUGGGGAGGCGUUACCCGCAGAAGAAGCACCGGCUAACUCCGUGCCAGCAGCCGCGGUAAUAC